GUGAACGCUGGCGGUAGGCCUAACACAUGCAAGUCGCACGGCAGCACAGUAAGAGCUUGCUCUUACGGGUGGCGAGUGGCGGACGGGUGAGGAAUACAUCGGAAUCUACUUUUUCGUGGGGGAUAACGUAGGGAAACUUACGCUAAUACCGCAUACGACCUACGGGUGAAAGCAGGGGAUCUUCGGACCUUGCGCGAUUGAAUGAGCCGAUGUCGGAUUAGCUAGUUGGCGGGGUAAAGGCCCACCAAGGCGACGAUCCGUAGCUGGUCUGAGAGGAUGAUCAGCCACACUGGAACUGAGACACGGUCCAGACUCCUACGGGAGGCAGCAGUGGGGAAUAUUGGACAAUGGGCGCAAGCCUGAUCCAGCCAUACCGCGUGGGUGAAGAAGGCCUUCGGGUUGUAAAGCCCUUUUGUUGGGAAAGAAAAGCAGCAGGUUAAUACCCCGCUGCUCUGACGGUACCCAAAGAAUAAGCACCGGCUAACUUCGUG
rnacentral:rRNA from 1 species